GCGGAGCUGAAAUCAGUCGAAGAUACCAGCUGGCUGCAACUGUUUAUUAAAAACACAGCACUGUGCAAACACGAAAGUGGACGUAUACGGUGUGACGCCUGCCCGGUGCCGGAAGGUUAAUUGAUGGGGUUAGCGGCAACGCGAAGCUCUUGAUCGAAGCCCCGGUAAACGGCGGCCGUAACUAUAACGGUCCUAAGGUAGCGAAAUUCCUUGUCGGGUAAGUUCCGACCUGCACGAAUGGCGUAAUGAUGGCCAGGCUGUCUCCACCCGAGACUCAGUGAAAUUGAACUCGCUGUGAAGAUGCAGUGUACCCGCGGCAAGACGGAAAGACCCCGUGAACCUUUACUAUAGCUUGACACUGAACACUGGUCCUUGAUGUGUAGGAUAGGUGGGAGGCUUUGAAGCGUGGACGCCAGUCUGCGUGGAGCCGUCCUUGAAAUACCACCCUUUAAUGGCUGGUGUUCUAACGUGGACCCGUGAUCCGGGUUGCGGACAGUGUCUGGUGGGUAGUUUGACUGGGGCGGUCUCCUCCCAAAGAGUAACGGAGGAGCACGAAGGUUAGCUAAUCCUGGUCGGACAUCAGGAGGUUAGUGCAAUGGCAUAAGCUAGCUUGACUGCGAGAGUGACGGCUCGAGCAGGUGCGAAAGCAGGUCAUAGUGAUCCGGUGGUUCUGAAUGGAAGGGCCAUCGCUCAACGGAUAAAAGGUACUCCGGGGAUAACAGGCUGAUACCGCCCAAGAGUUCAUAUCGACGGCGGUGUUUGGCACCUCGAUGUCGGCUCAUCACAUCCUGGGGCUGAAGUAGGUCCCAAGGGUAUGGCUGUUCGCCAUUUAAAGUGGUACGCGAGCUGGGUUUAGAACGUCGUGAGACAGUUCGGUCCCUAUCUGCCGUGGGCGCUGGAGAAUUGAGGGGGGCUGCUCCUAGUACGAGAGGACCGGAGUGGACGCAUCACUGGUGUUCGGGUUGUCAUGCCAAUGGCACUGCCCGGUAGCUAAAUGCGGAAGAGAUAAGUGCUGAAAGCAUCUAAGCACGAAACUUGCCCCGAGAUGAGUUCUCCCUGAGACUUUAAGUCUCCUGAAGGAACGUUGAAGACGACGACGUUGAUAGGCCGGGUGUGUAAGCGCAGCGAUGCGUUGAGCUAACCGGUACUAAUGAACCGUGAGGCUUAACCUU
rnacentral:rRNA from 1 species